UUUCUCUGGAGGAGCUCCGCGCGUGGCGAGUCUGUGUCCUCCCUGUCCCCCAGAGCAGAGAACCCUCUCUGUGUCUGGACGGGGGAGGAGCAGACGCUGGACAGGGUGUGUGUGUUCAGCAGUGGAUUGUCAGACUUGGGGUCCCGGCUGCUCCCUUUUGGGUCUCUCCCCGGGCCCGCUGAUCUGACUGUAAUUCCUUCUGCUGGAGCUAGGGUUCGGCCACCUUGACGCGCCCCCUCUGCCCCCGGAGCGUGUCUUUGGGUUUUGUGUGUGUGGGAGUGGGGUGUAUGUGUGUUUCUUAUCCGAGACACCUCCGGGUCGUUUGCUUGGAAACCGGCUGAGGGCCCGCACAGCCUGGAGCAUUUGGUUGGAAAGUGAGGCAGGUAGCGCCCAAGGCUCCUGUACCAGGGCCAGGUUAGGCACCAACGCGUCCCUUAUGUCUCUGCAGCCUGCAGUGCGGUGGAACCGUUUUAUAGACUGACAGUGUGAACGUGGGAGGGGAUGGAUAUCAGAGACCCGUUUAUCCACAUUUUCAGAGAGUGGUAUUGCUCCGAUGUGAGUGUAGGCAGGUUACUCUCUGUGUCUCGUGUUCUUUACCUGUAAUUUGAGGUUUGUUGUACCUACUUUUAAGUGGUGGUUGUGAGGAUUAAAUGGAAUUUUGACAUGCAACAGUUGACACAGGGCCAGACACCAAGUAAGGGAUCAAUCAGUUGUUGCUUUUAUUAAUAGUAGGCAUCCAUCUGCCCACUUGUACGUAAGAAGGAAACACCCAAGAAUGAAAAGUAGCUUGUUGUAGGUCACCCAGCCAACUAGCACAUAGGGGAAAUUAGAAUCCAGGCACUCCCAGCAGGGCACUUUCCACCACCCUGCACUUUUGUAUUCAUCAGGCACAAUAUCCUUACUGUUGUCUGUAACUGUCUAUGUUCCCAGUGUCUGACUCUGCAGGGCCCUGGUGGUAUAAAGGUACUGAGACUUGCCUGUGUUUAGGGCUUCCUGAAGAUUAAAUGGCUGCUGAAGUUCUUGAGUUUAGCUUUAGCUCAAAAGAUACUGCGUCAGACUCUGCGUUCUGAGUAGAGUCUCAGACAAUGAAAAAAGAAAUACAAUGAAAAAGGGGAAAACUUCAAUCCAGAAUCUCUUGCCACAGUUUUUGGCAAAAUGCUGGCAAUUCCCAGGAAGAUAUGUGGAGAACGGAAAGGUUGCUACACCCAAAUAGUGGCGCAAAGGCUAUGAUUAUGGAGGAUUGGACCUGCAAACUCCAGAACAGAGUUCUGCCCUCUGAGGACCCUGCCCUUUCCCAAAAGGGGUAUCUUAAGAAGGAAAAUAUGGCUGCUCUUUGCCGGACAGCAGAGUCCCAGGCUGAACUCCAGUGCACCCAGUUAGACUUGGAGCGGAAACUCAAGUUGAAUGAAAAUGCCAUCUCCAGGCUCCAGGCUAACCAAAAGUCUGUUCUGGUGUCGGUGUCAGAGGUCAAAGCAGUGGCUGAAAUGCAGUUUGGGGAACUCCUUGCUGCUGUGAGGAAGGCCCAGGCCAAUGUGAUGCUCUUCUUAGAGGAGAAGGAGCAAGCUGCGCUGAGCCAGGCCAACGGUAUCAAGGCCCACCUGGAGUACAGGAGUGCCGAGAUGGAGAAGAGUAAGCAGGAGCUGGAGACGAUGGCGGCCAUCAGCAACACUGUCCAGUUCUUGGAGGAGUACUGCAAGUUUAAGAACACUGAAGACAUCACCUUCCCUAGUGUUUACAUAGGGCUGAAGGAUAAACUCUCGGGCAUCCGCAAAGUUAUCACGGAAUCCACUGUACACUUAAUCCAGUUGCUGGAGAACUAUAAGAAAAAGCUCCAGGAGUUUUCCAAGGAAGAGGAGUAUGACAUCAGAACUCAAGUGUCUGCCAUUGUUCAGCGCAAAUAUUGGACUUCCAAACCUGAGCCCAGCACCAGGGAACAGUUCCUCCAAUAUGUGCAUGACAUCACGUUCGACCCGGACACAGCACACAAGUAUCUCCGGCUGCAGGAGGAGAACCGCAAGGUCACCAACACCACGCCCUGGGAGCAUCCCUACCCGGACCUCCCCAGCAGGUUCCUGCACUGGCGGCAGGUGCUGUCCCAGCAGAGUCUGUACCUGCACAGGUACUAUUUUGAGGUGGAGAUCUUCGGGGCAGGCACCUAUGUUGGCCUGACCUGCAAAGGCAUCGACCAGAAAGGGGAGGAGCGCAGCAGUUGCAUUUCCGGAAACAACUUCUCCUGGAGCCUCCAAUGGAACGGGAAGGAGUUCACGGCCUGGUACAGUGACAUGGAGACCCCACUCAAAGCUGGCCCUUUCUGGAGGCUCGGGGUCUAUAUUGACUUCCCAGGAGGGAUCCUUUCCUUCUAUGGCGUAGAGUAUGAUUCCAUGACUCUGGUUCACAAGUUUGCCUGCAAGUUUUCAGAACCAGUCUAUGCUGCCUUCUGGCUUUCCAAGAAGGAAAACGCCAUCCGGAUUGUAGAUCUGGGAGAGGAACCCGAGAAGCCAGCACCGUCCUUGGUGGGGACUGCUCCCUAGACUCCAGGAGCCAUAUCCCAGACCUUUGCCAGCUACAGUGAUGGGAUUUGCAUUUUAGGGUGAUUUGGGGGCAAAAAUAACUGCUGAUGGUAGCUGGCUUUUGAAAUCCUAUGGGGUCUCUGAAUGAAAACAUUCUCCAGCUGCUCUCUUUUGCUCCAUAUGGUGCUGUUCUCUAUGUGUUUGCAGUAAUUCUUUUUUUUUUUUUUUUUGAGACGGAGUCUCGCACUGUUGCCCAGGCUGGAGUGCAGUGGCGUGAUCUUGGCUCACUGCAAGCUCCGCCUCCCGAGUUCAAGCAAUUCUCCUGCCUCAGCCUCCCGAGUAGCUGGGAUUACAGGUGCCUGCCACCACACCCAGCUAACGUUUUGUAUUUUUAGUAGAGAUGGGGUUUCACCAUGUUGGCCAGGCAGAUCUCAAACUUCUGACCUCGUGAUGCACUCACCUCGGCCUCCCAAAGUGCUGGGAUUACAGGCGUGAGCCACUGCGCCCUGCCUGUUUGUAGUAAUUUUUAGGCACCAAAUCUCCCUCAUCUUCUAGUGCCAUUCUCCUCUCUGUUCAGGUAAAUGUCACACUGUGCCCAGAAUGGAUGACCAGGAACCUUCAAGAGUGGCUGAAAAGAUUGCAGAGUUAUCAUAAUAAAUUGCUAACUUGCGUAUUUCCU
rnacentral:lncRNA from 1 species